ACAGAGGUGGCGAACGUUGUUCGGAUUUACUGGGCGUAAAGGGUCCGCAGGCGGUUCGGUGUGUCGGAUGUGAAAGCUCACAGCUCAACUGUGGAAUUGCAUUCGAAACUGCCGAACUAGAGUACUGGAGGGGAGAAGGGAACACUUGGUGUAGCGGUGAAAUGCGUAGAUAUCAAGUGGAACACCGGAGGCGAAGGCGCUUCUCUGGACAGAUACUGACGCUCAUGGACGAAAGCUAGGGUAGCGAAAGG
rnacentral:rRNA from 1 species